AAUGAAUACUAAGGGUUGGAGGGUUUGCGCCCUUCAAUGCUGCAGCUAACGCAUUAAGCAUUCCGCCUGGGGAGUACGGCCGCAAGGCUGAAACUCAAAGGAAUUGACGGGGGCCCGCACAAGCGGUGGAGCAUGUGGUUUAAUUUAAGCUUACGCGAAGAACCUUACCAGGUCUUGACAUACUAUGCAAAUCUAAGAGAUUAGACGUUCCCUUCGGGGACAUGGAUACAGGUGGUGCAUGGUUGUCGUCAGCUCGUGUCGUGAGAUGUUGGGUUAAGUCCCGCAACGAGCGCAACCCUUAUUAUCAGUUGCCAGCAUUAAGUUGGGCACUCUGGUGAGACUGCCGGUGACAAACCGGAGGAAGGUGGGGAUGACGUCAAAUCAUCAUGCCCCUUAUGACCUGGGCUACACACGUGCUACAAUGGAUGGUACAACGAGUUGCGAAGUCGCGAGGCUAAGCUAAUCUCUUAAAGCCAUUCUCAGUUCGGAUUGUAGGCUGCAACUCGCCUACAUGAAGUCGGAAUCGCUAGUAAUCGCGGAUCAGCAUGCCGCGGUGAAUACGUUCCCGGGCCUUGUACACACCGCCCGUCACACCAUGAGAGUUUGUAACACCCAAAGUCGGUGGGGUAACCUUUUAGGAACCAGCCGCCUAAGGUGGGACAGAUGAUUA
rnacentral:rRNA from 1 species